UGCGCAUAUAUUUACAUAGUAAUGUGAUAUGCUGUCCAUAUUAUGCAAAUGAGGUCAGGCUGGGGCUCCCUAAAGCUUUGCCAGCAUUCAUCCUUUUUUGCCUAGGGCGGUGUGAGAAGGUGCAUCGUGGCCCCAUUUUAUCUGCAGAGGACAAAGAUACAUCAGAGCCACCCCGGACCUAUCAGUCUGAAUAUGGGACCGAGACCCAAGAACUCCUGAGUUAAAUCCAGCUGUGACACUCACCUUUUCUGUGAUGUUUGAGACUGUCCAGUUUGACCAAUGUACAUGUACUGUCCAGUUUGACCAAUGUACUUCUGAGGAGUGACUUGUUGGAAAGAUGACGAUGCUCACCUACUCAUCAGAGGAUCUGUGCAGCCUUCUGUGUGGCAGCUAGAGCCAUGUACAGAUUGCCCUGUUUAUGCACCCAAGGAUUGCAUGAUCUCUUCUGACCACAGUGUUGUACUAGGAGCUCAUAUUCAGCCGAUUAUCCACCAUGACCCCCAAAUCUCUCUCCGAGUCACUGCUUUCCAGGGGAGAGGCCCCCACUG